rnacentral:rRNA from 1 species
CGCCUCCUGACAAAUAUAGGAGGUCCAGCCUGCCCAGUGACAAAGUUCAACGGCCGCGGUACCCUAACCGUGCGAAGGUAGCAUAAUCACUUGUUCUUUAAAUGAGGACUAGUAUCAACGGCACCACGAGGACUCUACUGUCUCCUCCCUCCAAUCAGUGAAACUGAUCCCCCCGUGAAGAAGCGGGGAUUAUUCUAUAAGACGAGAAGACCCCAUGGAGCUUUAAACCCAAUAGGCAUCUCUGCAAACUUAAACCACCUUAGCCUUAGAGAUAUGCACUAUUAGUUUUAGGCUGGGGUGACCGCGGAGUAAAACUAAACCUCCACGACAAACGGGCUAACGCCCUGAUCUACGAACCACACUUCUAAGAACCAAUAUAUUGUUGUCCAAUGACCCAAUUAUAUGAUCAACGAACCAAGUUACCCUGGGGAUAACAGCGCAAUCUACUUCAAGAGCCCCUAUCGACAAGUAGGUUUACGACCUCGAUGUUGGAUCAGGGUAUCCCAGUGGCGCAACCGCUACUAAAGGUUCGUUUGUUCAACGACUAAGACCCU